AGCCAUUUGGACAGAAGCCCUAAAUGGCCCAGAGGCACAGCCAUUUAGAACUCUUUUCUUUUUUUUUUUUUUUUCAGUAGAAUAUUUUGACCCCCAGAGGUAUGCGUAGCUAUAUCGGGGAUCCAAAGGUUUCACACAGGAUGAGUCCUGUGUCUACAUGCAGCGUAGCAGGAGCUGGGAAUGGAAGCAAACCAAUAUUCCAGCAUCUGCUUCUAGAACAGUGAUCAGGAUCGCUAUCGUUAAUAAGAUGGGUGUAUGUGGGACCCAAGACUCAUCUGUCAAGCCCUUCUUCUGACUGCUUUUAAGGUGCCAGUCACGAAUUGCCCGAACAUUACCUGCUGAUCAGAAGCCAGAAUGUCGGCCAUACUGGGAAAAGGAUGAUGCUUCGAUGCCUCUGCCGUUUGACCUCACAGACAUCGUUUCAGAACUCAGAGGUCAGCUUCUGGAAGCAAAACCCUAGAAGGAGCACAAGUCUCAGGCGGAGGAGAAAAAGAGAUCGGCUUUUCUCCUCCAACGUUGUCAUGGGCUUAAGCAAGAGCAGUGGAGACUUCUCUUGGCCCCUAGAUUGUAGCACCCGGGUCCCAAUCCAAAACAGCUAGGAAAUGGUGCCCAUGAAGUUUUAAAUGUUUUAAAAUGACCCUGUGUUAUAGUCUGAUUUGGUGUUAAACAGGACCUUCUUCCCCCAAAAUUGUUCAGAUUAUAAAAUGUGAGCCAUUCAGCCCCCAAGGUCCAGGGCAGGCGACAGGAACGAGCCCAGCGUGUGACAAAGCCUAACCUACUUUCCUCUUUCCCAAGCUUUUUCAGAGACUCUGGAGUGGACCCAGCCCUCUGGGGAAAGACAGAACUU
rnacentral:lncRNA from 1 species